rnacentral:rRNA from 1 species
UUCUUACUCGCCCGGCCUUGUGCCGGCAUGCUUCUUCUUAUCUGCCCUAUCACUUUCAUGGUAGGAUAGAGGCCUACCAUGGUUUCACGGGUAACGGGGAAUAAGGGUUCGAUUCCGGAGAGGGAGCCUGAGAAACGGCUACCACAUCCAAGGAAGGCAGCAGGCGCGCAAAUUACCCAAUCCCGACACGGGGAGGUAGUGACAAUAAAUAACAAUAUAGGGCUCUUUCGGGUCUUAUAAUUGGAAUGAGUACAAUUUAAAUCCCUUAACGAGGAACAAUUGGAGGGCAAGUCUGGUGCCAGCAGCCGCGGUAAUUCCAGCUCCAAUAGCGUAUAUUAAAGUUGUUGCAGUUACAAAAGCUCGUAGUUGGAACUUCAUACCUGGUCGGGGCGGUCCGCUUAACGGCGUGCUACUGUCUGACUGGUGUUCAUUUACCUCUUCGAUGAGCCGGCGUAGCCGUUCUAUUGGUGUUGCGUCGGGAC